rnacentral:rRNA from 1 species
AGAGUUUGAUCCUGGCUCAGAACGAACGCUGGCGGCAGGCUUAACACAUGCAAGUCGAGCGCCCCGCAAGGGGAGCGGCAGACGGGUGAGUAACGCGUGGGAAUCUACCCAGCUCUACGGAAUAACUCAGGGAAACUUGUGCUAAUACCGUAUACGUCCGAUAGGAGAAAGAUUUAUCGGAGUUGGAUGAGCCCGCGUUGGAUUAGCUAGUUGGUGGGGUAAAGGCCUACCAAGGCGACGAUCCAUAGCUGGUCUGAGAGGAUGAUCAGCCACACUGGGACUGAGACACGGCCCAGACUCCUACGGGAGGCAGCAGUGGGGAAUAUUGGACAAUGGGCGCAAGCCUGAUCCAGCCAUGCCGCGUGAGUGAUGAAGGCCCUAGGGUUGUAAAGCUCUUUCACCGGUGAAGAUAAUGACGGUAACCGGAGAAGAAGCCCCGGCUAACUUCGUGCCAGCAGCCGCGGGAAUACGAAGGGGGCUAGCGUUGUUCGGAAUUACU